ACUGAAUAUGUGCUGUAUAAAAAGUAACUAGUCAAUUUUUAUGUUUGCAGGAACCACUGCAGAGACAUGUAAUGGAACGCCUUCUCUCAAGAAUUAAUGAGGUUCUAGACCAGCCACAUUUGGAUUUGGAUUAUUUCCAAUAUAUUGGAGACCUUUUGGUCCAUUAAAUAGACAUGGCCCUACCAGUGUCAUGUAUUUCAAACCUGCUCGGAGUCAGCGUAUCUACUAUUUUCAGACGCAUGUAUGAGCUUGGGUUAUUAACAAGAUCUUACAGCAAUUUAUCUGACAGCGAACGUGACAAUGCAGUAUUAUAAAUAAAGAAGAGAUUACCUAAUGCUGGAUAUCAGAUGGUAAAGGGUUGCCUUCAAGCAGAGGGUCACAGAGUUCAGUGGGAAUGGAUCAAAGACUCAAUGCACAGAGUUGAUGGAGCUGGAGUUUUACAAAGAAUGUUGCAGCUAGGGUGCGUCGUCAGAAGGACAUACUCUGUACCGCAUCCUUUCUCCUUAGUACACAUAGACACAAAUCAUAAGCUUAUAAGGUAACAUUUCGUUUUUACCAAGAUAUUGGGUUUUUUAUGAACAUAAUUGGAUAGAAUGAUGUAAAAUUCUCUUUUAAAGGUAUAACAUCGUCAUAUUUGGAGCGAUAGAUGGGUUCUCCAGAAAGAUUAUGUACUCGGAGCCUGCAACAAACAACAGAGCAAGCACUGCUCUUACAUUCUUUCUAAAAGCUGUGGAAAACUAUGGGUGGCCUUCCAGGGUAAGAGGGAAUGAAGGAGUUGAAAACGUGGCAGUACCUGAAGCCAUGUUCAGUGUACAAGGAACGGGAAGAGGGAGUUUUAUAGCUGGCAAAAGUGUACACAAUCAAAGAAUUGUGAGCCUAUGGCGAGACGUGUGGACCAGUGUAACUCAUCUCUACUACGAAGUACUUCACAAUUUGGAGGAGCAUGGACUUCUGG